GUUGGUGGCUUUAGAACCGUACACGCGUGAGGGUAGGGUUUUUAACCCUGUACGAUGAAGAAAAGAAAAAAAGGGAAGGAAGAAAGAGAAGUAUGAUGCACACACAAAAUGAAGUUUUUGGAGAGGAGAAGAGAUGAAAAACACAGUUUACGUGGUUCGGCAAAUAGAAGCAUCCACGGGGAAGGAUCAAACGUUUAUUGAAGAUGAGUAUACAAUAUUUUCUUUCUCUUGCUUGAUAGAUUUUUCUUUUUGAAUAAGAGAUUAGAUUUUGAUUAAACCACACCUUUAUAUUUAUAGGUGUUUACAUUGACAAGUUAGUUAGAGAAAGAAAGGCAUAAAAAAAGUUAUGUUAGAGUUGCUUAUUUGUUGGAUUUCACUGUGUUUUACACCUACUGAUCAUCUUUCCAACUGAUCUUGCCUACUGAUUACCUCACCAAUUGAUCAGAACGCCAACAAAUCAAGACGCCUAGUGGUUAAAACCCCUGGUCAAAAUGCAAACUGCAAAACAGAAACUGGUUAGGAGAUGAGUGAGUCACGAAUCUCACUCUCUUUAAGGCGUUAUGGAGAUCUACUCCUUUGCGCAAAAUAGUUUUGAUUGCCUCGUUAUCCCCGGAUAAAACAACCUUGUUCUUCGAUUAGUUUUGCAUUGGAACUAAUCGGAAUUAACAACAUUGGUAACAGACACUCUAUUGCUCGGUAUACUGAAAGAGAAUUUCGGGAGGUAUACUGAAAGAGAAAUUUAUGAGAGGUAUACUGAAAGAGAAAUUUAUGAGAAUGAAAUCGUUGUGAAGUUUUCUAUGUAACUUGAAGAGAAAAAUGAAACCAUGUAUAUAGUAAGCAUGGAAUGACUCCAACGGUCAUAUUAUUUAUGACGGGACAAAAUUGAUUGAAAUAAAAUAACAUUUAUUUUGAAA